rnacentral:sRNA from 1 species
CGGGCCUCCCCGCGCGGGCGCCGGAGAGGAAGGAAGGCUGGCAGCCUCGUCACGUGUCCGCUGCAGUCGCGAAACAGUUCCGGUGGUGAGGAGACCUUUCCAAAUAUAAGAGGAAUAAAGAAGUCACCUCCCCAGCUGUCAUCAUCUUCCAGCAGAUUGAGCAAGAAUAUUUUGAGCACUACAGGAAAGACAGUCCAUCAAACCCGAGAUGAUGAUCAGCCACGUGAUUUUUUCAAGAAGAGGAAUAGGGUGAAUGAAUCUCAUCAGAAAAGCAGCUCCUGGGACUUACGAGAUAUGGCCCUGCUUCUGAACGCAGAGAACAAAACGGAAGCCGUGCCCCGAGUGGGAGGACUUCUUGGGAAGUAUAUCGAUAGACUUAUUCAGCUUGAGUGGCUGCAAGUCCAGACUGUACAGUGUGAAAAAGCAAAGGGGGGCAAAGCAAGGCCCCCCACUGCCCCUGGGACCUCAGGGGCACUGAAAAGCCCUGGGAGAAGUAAGCUAAUUGCUAGUGCUCUGUCCAAGCCACUACCUCACCAGGAAGGGGCUUCAAAGUCAGGCCCUUCCCGAAAGAAAGCUUUUCACCAUGAAGAAAUCCACCCAUCACAUUAUGCAUUUGAGACUUCCCCUAGACCCAUUGAUGUGCUUGGUGGUACCAGGUUUUGUUCUCAGAGGCAAACCCUUGAAAUGAGGACAGAAGAAAAGAAAAAGAAAUCAAGUAAGAGUACGAAGCUGCAGCGCUGGGAUCUGUCCGGCAGUGGAAGCAGCUCUAAGGUGGAAACCAGCGGUCACAUUCGAGUUCCCAAACAGGCAGCUGUGAUUCUGGACUCAGCAGAUUCCUGUAAGGCCUCCAAAACACAAGCACAUGCACAUCCUAGGAAAA